AAGACUAUAGACCUGCGGAGUACCUGCGGAAGGAUCAUUACCGAGCUCGUGCCCUUCGGGGCAGAUCUCCCACCCGAUGUCAUGACUACGAUGUUGCUUUGGCGGGCCGCCGGGCCCUGCCCGCCAGAGGUCUCCUAGACUCUGAAUAUUAGUGUCGUCCGAGUAUCACAGAAUAGUCAAAACUUUUAACAACGGAUCUCU
rnacentral:misc_RNA from 1 species